UUUCUCCUCCUGUCCUCCGAUUUUCGCGCUUGACCCAACUGUGAGGUUUCUUUGUUGCAAUGUUGGGGUCUGAGAUAACACUUCUGGAGGCUGCAGCCGGGAACCACAGCUGAUGCCAUCUUUUCUUGUCUGUUGUUAAUGACCUAGCAUUAUAAGCUAAGGAGGAAAAGUAACAAAGAGCUUGAAGACUUUCAUGGCUCCCAGGCCCUGGACAGAGGCCGGCGGUCUCAGACAGACAGAACCAAGGAGGGGCCUGUGACGGCACAGCCCAGACUUGCCUUGGAAAAGAUUGAGAAGAGCCAGUAGACUUGGCUUCCUUACUUCUGCUCAUGUGAGUAUAAUUUAUAUUUCUAACUAUUGUGCAAGUGUCAUUAGAGCCACGUAUUUCCCCAGGUUUCUGGGGAAGAACUGCCUGGUUCGAUCUUUGCGACGCUGGCGCUCUUUUAGAAUUAACCACGGCAAAACUUGAUGACACUUCCGUGGUUCUUGUAAAAUUCAUCUUUGGGGUAAUUUUACGCUGCGUGUUCCCCCCCCC
rnacentral:lncRNA from 1 species